rnacentral:rRNA from 1 species
AAGCGGUGGAGUAUGUGGUUUAAUUCGAUGCAACGCGAAGAACCUUACCUGGUCUUGACAUCCCAGAAAUCCCUUGGAAACUUGGGAGUGCUCCAUUAGGAAGAAUCUGGAGACAGGUGCUGCAUGGCUGUCGUCAGCUCGUGUCGUGAGAUGUUGGGUUAAGUCCCGCAACGAGCGCAACCCUUGCCUUUAGUUGCCAGCAGUUCGGCUGGGCACUCUAAAGGGACUGCCGGUGUUAAACCGGAGGAAGGUGGGGGAUGACGUCAAGUCCUCAUGCCCCUUAUGACCUGGGCUACACACGUGCUACAAUGGUUGGUACAACGAGUUGCGAGUCGGUGACGGCGAGCUAAUCUCUUAAAGCCAAUCUCAGUUCGGAUUGUAGGCUGCAACUCGCCUACAUGAAGUCGGAAUCGCUAGUAAUCGCGGAUCAGCACGCCGCGGUGAAUACGUUCCCGGGCCUU